rnacentral:rRNA from 1 species
AGAGUUUGUUUUUGGCUCGAUUGAACGCUGGCGGCAUGGCUAAAACAUGCAAGUCGAACGAUCCCUUCGGGGAGAGUGGCGAAAGGGCGAGGAAUACGAUCGAACGUGCCCCGAGGUGGGGGAUAGCUUAUGGAAACGUAAGGUAAUACCCCGUAAUCUCUUCGGAGAAAAGGUUUACCGCCUUGGGAGCGGCGAUACUCCUAUCAGGUAGUUGGUGGGGUAAAGGCCUACCAAGCCAAUGACGGGUAGCGGGUGUGAGAGCAUGACCCGCCGCAUCGGGACUGAGACACUGCCCGGACUCCUACGGGAGGCUGCAGUAACGAAUAUUCCGCAAUGCGCGAAAGCGUGACGGAGCAAUGCCGCGUGUGGGAUGAAGCGCCUUCGGUGUGUAAACCACUGUCAGGGUUUAGGAACACUGACCAGACCCAAAGGAAGGGCCGGCUAAUUCCGUGCCAGCAGCCGCGGUAAUACGGAAGGCCCGAGCGUUAAUCGGAAUCACUGGGCUUAAAGGGUGCGCAGGCGGACCCGUAGGUGUCUUGUGAAAGCCCCCGGCUCAACCGGGGACGUGCAGGGCAAACCACGGGUCUUGAGGCAGGUAGGGGCCAACGGAACUAUCGGUGGAGCGGUGAAAUGCGUAGAUAUCGAUGGGAACGCCAGUGGCGAAGGCGGUUGGCUGGGCCUGACCUGACGCUGAGGCACGAAAGCGUGGGGAGCGAACAGGAUUAGAUACCCUGGUAGUCCACGCCGUAAACGAUGUGCACUAGGUCGCGGCUGCUCUGACGUAGUCGCGGCCGAAGCAAAAGUGUUAAGUGUGCCGCCUGGGGAGUACGGUCGCAAGGCUAAAACUCAAAGGAAUUGACGGGGGCUCACACAAGCGGUGGAGCAUGUUGCUUAAUUCGAGGCAACGCGAAGAACCUUACCUGGUCUUGACAUGUACGGAUUAACUCCUGGAAACACGAGCCAGCCCUUUGGGUGGAACGUACACAGGUGCUGCAUGGCUGUCGUCAGCUCGUGCUGUGAAGUGUCGGGUUAAGUCCCUUAACGAGCGCAACCCCUAUCGUUAGUUACUAACACGUUAUGGUGAGGACUCUAACGAGACUGCCGGUGUCAAACCGGAGGAAGGUGGGGAUGACGUCAAGUCCUCAUGGCCCUUACGACCAGGGCUGCAAACGUGCUACAAUGGUAUGACAGAGCGAUGCAAGACCGCGAGGUGGAGCAAAUCGCACAAACCAUGCCCCAGUUCGGAUAGCAGGCUGAAAUUCGCCUUCUUGAAGCCGGAAUCGCUAGUAAUCGCGUAUCAGCUACGACGCGGUGAAUACGUUCCUGAGCCUUGUACACACCGCCCGUCACGUCAUGGAAGCUGCUAGUGCCCGAAGUCACCUCGAUUCAGGGGUGCCUACGGCAAGAGUGGUGACUGGGACGAAGUCGUAACAAGGUAGCCGUAGGAGAACCUGCGGCUGGAUCACCUCCUUU